rnacentral:rRNA from 1 species
AGAGUUUGAUCCUGGCUCAGGAUGAACGCUAGCUACAGGCUUAACACAUGCAAGUCGAGGGGCAGCAUUUUAGUUUGCUUGCAAACUGAAGAUGGCGACCGGCGCACGGGUGAGUAACACGUAUCCAACCUGCCGAUAACUCCGGGAUAGCCUUUCGAAAGAAAGAUUAAUACCGGAUGGCAUACGAAUAUCGCAUGAUAUUUUUAUUAAAGAAUUUCGGUUAUCGAUGGGGAUGCGUUCCAUUAGUUUGUUGGCGGGGUAACGGCCCACCAAGACUACGAUGGAUAGGGGUUCUGAGAGGAAGGUCCCCCACAUUGGAACUGAGACACGGUCCAAACUCCUACGGGAGGCAGCAGUGAGGAAUAUUGGUCAAUGGGCGAGAGCCUGAACCAGCCAAGUAGCGUGAAGGAUGAAGGCUCUAUGGGUCGUAAACUUCUUUUAUAUGGGAAUAAAGUUUUCCACGUGUGGAAUUUUGUAUGUACCAUAUGAAUAAGGAUCGGCUAACUCCGUGCCAGCAGCCGCGGUAAUACGGAGGAUCCGAGCGUUAUCCGGAUUUAUUGGGUUUAAAGGGAGCGUAGGUGGAUUGUUAAGUCAGUUGUGAAAGUUUGCGGCUCAACCGUAAAAUUGCAGUUGAAACUGGCAGUCUUGAGUACAGUAGAGGUGGGCGGAAUUCGUGGUGUAGCGGUGAAAUGCUUAGAUAUCACGAAGAACUCCGAUUGCGAAGGCAGCUCACUAGACUGUUACUGACACUGAUGCUCGAAAGUGUGGGUAUCAAACAGGAUUAGAUACCCUGGUAGUCCACACAGUAAACGAUGAAUACUCGCUGUUUGCGAUAUACAGUAAGCGGCCAAGCGAAAGCAUUAAGUAUUCCACCUGGGGAGUACGCCGGCAACGGUGAAACUCAAAGGAAUUGACGGGGGCCCGCACAAGCGGAGGAACAUGUGGUUUAA